UACGUAGGUGGCAAGCGUUGUCCGGAAUUAUUGGGCGUAAAGCGCGCGCAGGCGGUCCUUUAAGUCUGAUGUGAAAGCCCACGGCUCAACCGUGGAGGGUCAUUGGAAACUGGGGGACUUGAGUGCAGAAGAGAAGAGUGGAAUUCCACGUGUAGCGGUGAAAUGCGUAGAGAUGUGGAGGAACACCAGUGGCGAAGGCGGCUUCCUGGCCUGUUCUUGACGCUGAGGCGCGAAAGCUAGGGUAGCAAACGGG
rnacentral:rRNA from 1 species